UCGAACGGCAGCACGGGAGCAAUCCUGGUGGCGAGUGGCGAACGGGUGAGUAAUAUAUCGGAACGUGCCCAGUCGUGGGGGAUAACGCAGCGAAAGCUGUGCUAAUACCGCAUACGAUCUCUGGAUGAAAGCGGGGGACUUGAAAGAGCCUCGCGCGAUUGGAGCGGCCGAUAUCAGAUUAGCUAGUUGGUGGGGUAAAGGCCCACCAAGGCGACGAUCUGUAGCUGGUCUGAGAGGACGACCAGCCACACUGGAACUGAGACACGGUCCAGACUCCUACGGGAGGCAGCAGUGGGGAAUUUUGGACAAUGGGCGCAAGCCUGAUCCAGCAAUGCCGCGUGCAGGAUGAAGGCCUUCGGGUUGUAAACUGCUUUUGUACGGAGCGAAAAAGUUCUUUUUAAUAAAGAGGGCUCAUGACGGUACCGUAAGAAUAAGCACCGGCUAACUACGUGCCAGCAGCCGCGGUAAUACGUAGGGUGCAAGCGUUAAUCGGAAUUACUGGGCGUAAAGCGUGCGCAGGCGGUUUUGUAAGACAGAUGUGAAAUCCCCGGGCUCAACCUGGGACCUGCAUAUGUGACUGCAAAGCUAGAGUACGGUAGAGGGGGAUGGAAUUCCGCGUGUAGCAGUGAAAUGCGUAGAUAUGCGGAGGAACACCGAUGGCGAAGGCAAUCCCCUGGACCUGUACUGACGCUCAUGCACGAAAGCGUGGGGAGCAAACAGGAUUAGAUACCCUGGUAG
rnacentral:rRNA from 1 species